CCUACGGGUGGCAGCAGUGGGGAAUAUUGGGCAAUGGACGCAAGUCUGACCCAGCAACGCCGCGUGAAGGAAGAAGGCUUUCGGGUUGUAAACUUCUUUUAAGGGGGAAGAGCAGAAGACGGUACCCCUUGAAUAAGCCACGGCUAACUACGUGCCAGCAGCCGCGGUAAUACGUAGGUGGCAAGCGUUGUCCGGAUUUACUGGGUGUAAAGGGCGUGUAGCCGGGCUGACAAGUCAGAUGUGAAAUCCCGUGGCUCAACCACGGAACUGCAUUUGAAACUGUCGGUCUUGAGUAUCGGAGAGGCAGGCGGAAUUCCUAGUGUAGCGGUGAAAUGCGUAGAUAUUAGGAGGAACACCAGUGGCGAAGGCGGCCUGCUGGACGACAACUGACGGUGAGGCGCGAAAGCGUGGGGAGCAAACAGGAUUAGAUACCCUUGUAGUC
rnacentral:rRNA from 1 species